GUGGGGAAUAUUGGACAAUGGGCGGAAGCCUGAUCCAGCCAUGCCGCGUGUGUGAAGAAGGCCUUUUGGUUGUAAAGCACUUUAAGCGAGGAGGAGGCUCCUUUAGUUAAUACCUAAAGUGAGUGGACGUUACUCGCAGAAUAAGCACCGGCUAACUCUGUGCCAGCAGCCGCGGUAAUACAGAGGGUGCGAGCGUUAAUCGGAUUUACUGGGCGUAAAGCGUGCGUAGGCGGCUUUUUAAGUCGGAUGUGAAAUCCCUGAGCUUAACUUAGGAAUUGCAUUCGAUACUGGAAAGCUAGAGUAUGGGAGAGGAUGGUAGAAUUCCAGGUGUAGCGGUGAAAUGCGUAGAGAUCUGGAGGAAUACCGAUGGCGAAGGCAGCCAUCUGGCCUAAUACUGACGCUGAGGUACGAAAGCAUGGGGAGCAAACAGGAUUAGAUACCCUGGUAGUCC
rnacentral:rRNA from 1 species